GUGCCAGCCGCCGCGGUAAUACGGAGGGUGCAAGCGUUACUCGGAAUCACUGGGCGUAAAGCGCGCGCAGGCGGCCUUUUAAGUUGGAUGUGAAAGCCUAUGGCUCAACCAUAGAACUGCAUCCAAAACUAUUAGGCUAGAGUGUGGGAGAGGAAGAUGGAAUUAGUUGUGUAGGGGUAAAAUCCGUAGAGAUAACUAGGAAUACCAAAAGCGAAGGCAAUCUUCUGGAACAUUACUGACGCUGAGGCGCGAAAGCGUGGGGAGCAAACAGGAUUAGAUACCCUGGUAGUCCACGCCCUAAACGAUGAAUGUUAGUCGUCGGGUAGCUAGUCUAUUCGGUGAUGCAGCUAACGCAUUAAACAUUCCGCCUGGGGAGUACGGUCGCAAGAUUAAAACUCAAAGGAAUAGACGGGGACCCGCACAAGUGGUGGAGCAUGUGGUUUAAUUCGAAGAUACGCGAAGAACCUUACCUAGCCUUGACAUAUAUUAGAACUCAGCAGAGAUGCAGAGGUGCCUUCGGGAGCUUUUAUACAGGUGCUGCACGGCUGUCGUCAGCUCGUGUCNNGAGAUGUUGGGUUAAGUCCCGCAACGAGCGCAACCCUCGUCACUAG
rnacentral:rRNA from 1 species